GAUAUGUUUUUUAUCCAGCCGUGAAAAUACUGCCCCCUAGCCAUAACAGGUUAAACAGCUACCCAUCCACUCUGACCAGCCACCUUUUGUUUUUGCCUUAAGUGACCUAUGUCUCAUGUAACCGUACAAACGUAACAUAUCAUACUAAUUUAAGUGUCCCUGAUUUACAUUGACUAUGUCACGUCUAGUCUAUGAGACCAGGCUGCCUUUACACUAUGAUGUUUAAUAUUUAUCUAAUGAAUUCAGUGUAUCUGUGAUCAUCAGAGAUCAAUGUUCUCUUAUUCAGGAAUCUACCAACUGGGUUCAGGUUGAACCUGUGGCCAUCACUAAAGAAGCCCCAAUGUUCAGGUACAUUCCUGGAAUGUAUUAGUCCCUCGCCAUAAUACAGACGAUUAAAAACUUUACGUUUUGUUAUCCAACAAUUCUGUUUUAAGAUACUAAUAAUAAUGACUAGAUUGAAUAUACCUGCUAACACUUAUUUAAAGAAGACAGUCUGACUUCAUUGCAUGUGUUUAAUUAAUUGUAAAAAAAAAAGAAAAAUAACAAAUAGAGUCUGAGAAUUUAUAAAUUUACAGUAGAACAAGUGGAUGAAGUCACCCGCUUCCACGUCAAGAUCGUCCAUCCAUCCUUCUCUCCAAAAGGAGUUCUCGUGAGAUCUGGCUGUCCAGUGAAAGCCCACUGUGACUUGCUGCUCUACCAGGCCAAGACAGCAUUCCUCACGCUACAUGCAUAUCUGGUACCCUGUGAUUCUUCUGUGGAACAGGCAAUGAAGAAAAAGGAGCAGUCUUAUGGAUACAGGAGUAUCAGAAAGCCGCAACCAGUGAAGUCCCUUCGGAUGAAGGAUUGGUUCAGCCUCACAACGUCGUCUCCUUCUGCUGAAGUUAAACCUCCUAAAAUGAAGCUGAGAUAUGACAACACUACACCAAACUUCUUUGAGGUGUUCAUAGAAGAUGCAGAUGUUGACUUCAGUAUGAAGCUAAUCAGUGAUGUGGAGGGGGAAAUCGUAUGGGAUCACAC